CUCCGUGAUCUUUCAAAAAUUAUAUUAUAGCAUUGUAACGAGAUGGAUAGAGACUGUAUUCAAGUUAUAGAUAAUGCGCUGCAGGAGUCAGAUGAUGUGGAGAGUCCAAAUGAGGACCUGGAUU